ACCUACGGGGGGCAGCAGUGGGGAAUCUUGCACAAUGGGCGAAAGCCUGAUGCAGCGACGCCGCGUGGGCGAAGAAGGCCUUUGGGCCGUAAAGCCCUGUCGGGAGGGAAGAAGGAAGCGACGGUACCUCCCAAGGAAGCCCCGGCUAACUCCGUGCCAGCAGCCGCGGUAAUACGGAGGGCGCGAGCGUUAAUCGGAAUUACUGGGCGUAAAGCGCUCGUAGGCGGUAUGUCAAGUCAAGGGUGAAAUCCCCGCGCUCAACGUGGGAACUGCCUUUGAAGCUGGCAAACUGGAGUGUGUGAGAG
rnacentral:rRNA from 1 species